CAAAAAGUUACAAAUUGCUGUGAGAUUGUGUUGGUUUUACACAGUUGAUGCCCUUCCAGCUGCAACCCAGUACUGGAAAACAUCCAUUCCAGGGGCGUAUAGAUUUAGCAUGGACGGAGGGGACUCGUCCCCACCAAUAUCCACCAACUAUCGAAGUGUACCCCCCAAUAAUUUAAUUCACUUAAAUAAAAUCAUACUGUCAAUAUUAACCUAGACAUGCAGAACGGGUUAAAUCACGUUCUUUCCUCGAGUCGCACCGCCCCCAAACACACAUGAACGAUGUGAUUGGCUGAGGCUGAGCUUUUCCCUGCUGUCAUGUAAGAGGCUGUAGCUACAUUCAAAACUGCAGGAGAAUUUCCCAUGCAAGAGUAAGGUGUGCGAGGCAUGUGGCACACACGUGUGAGGAUGGCGGCAGCUAAAUAACGGUGGAUGCUUUUGUCAACGAAAAGUAUGACGACUAAAAAUCCAUCUCGUCCAUGAUCACCUGAGAACAAAACCUUCUCUCCAUCUGACCAAACCACACAACAACCUCAAAACAUGCAAUUCUAAAUGUGCUGCAUACAGUCCAGCAACAAACCAGGAGCAGAAGAACCUAAACAUACAGCCACUCAAUCCCAUCAUCUAGUGGAUGAUCUCAGACAUCUGAUGGAGCUUUUUGGAGACUUCAUCAGCUAAUGGAUGGAGGUGCUGACCGGG